UCUGAUGGUGAAUAAUUAAUUGAUGUGGAUCAUCACACGGCUAAGGAGUGCGUGUUCACCAUACACGCUGGUCAAACGUGACACACCAAGCCAUUAAAUAAGUCAUAACAAUGGACGUGUAUGAUUGAAUCUGGAAAUAGAGAUGGACGCUCCUGAUCUGAUCUGGAGACCAGACGGUGGCCAGCGCCAGCGUCUUCUCCGGCCAACAUCCGACCAUGUCCAAAGUUGCAGAAAUAAAAAUGGUAACCAAAUGGCACGAUCCAG
rnacentral:lncRNA from 1 species